UGACAAUUCGGGCUCUGUUCCCACCCCUGCUUUUCGCUAAAAAACUCUCCAGAUGGCCCCUGUGAUUUCCAUGGUCCUCUGCGGCUAUAAUGCCCUUUAGACGGGCCGUCUCUACUGACCUUAGGAAGCGCGUAAGUGAGGAAGCGGAGGCUCCGGGGCUCCAGCCCACACCCAGGACUGUCCUCUGAGCCCCAGCCUCCAGCACCAAGAGGAGCAGCAGAUAUGGAAGUGGCCACACGUCCACUUCUGGGUGAGCUGCCAACAUGAGAAGUUUCAUGCAUGCGAUCCGAGGUAUACACCGGAAAGAAUGAAAAACAGCUUUUCAAAUAAUAACUUGCACACAGAUGUUCGCAGCAGCAUUAUUAACAACAGACAAAAGGUGGGAACAACCCUGAUGUCCACUGACAGAUGAAUGGAUGAAUGAAUCACAGGCCAUCCAUACAAUGGAACUCAGCCAUAAAGAGGCGUGAAAUCCUGACACACGCCACAGCAGAGAUAAGGCGUGGCUUGGGCACACCAGAAAUGGCCGGCUCUGCGUGUGAGUGCGAGCCUGGUCAGGAGGGCCACGCCAGAGAAGCUUCGGGCUGGAAAACCACUUGUCGGCCGCAGAUGAUAACCUUAAGGCUGGCGGGCGGACCAGCUCUCAGGACGAGGGCUCGAGGUGUUCACAGAUCCAGGAAACCCAGAGUCACCCUCACCCCCUUCCAGCCUAGCCACAGCAGUGAGUCGAUGCGAGACGAAGACCCGCCCGUAAUCACUGAGCUGCCUGGGCUCCUCUCGCUUCGCCCUUUUGAAGACUGCGAUUUUGCUGAAGCCUAAAGAACAAAGCAUUGUUUUAGUCUGUAAAUGUGUGUAACCGACUCACUUGGCUGUGCCGCAGCAAUUAACAUCGUAAAUAAA